ACAGUGAGAGUGGGGUGACCAACUGUCCUGGUUUGCCUAGGACCAAGGCGGGGGGGUCUUGGAAUAUUGGAUUUUCGAUUUUAAAACUGGGACGGUCCCAGGCAAACUGGGACAAGUUGGUGACCCUGGGAGAAAGUGCUCUCUGGCUGUUCAAAGGUGGGAGAUGCGCCGCAGAGCCAGGGAGGGGCCGUCCUGAAGCUUUGAAUUUGUGCCACUCCCUAAGACCAGAACAAGAGGGGAGUUUUCGGAUUGUUUUAUUAUGCAAUUUCUUCCUUCCUCAGGAACUCAGCCCUCUUGGUUAUUUGUGAAGCAGUUUCAGGGCCUCAUAAUUCUACGGUUGCUGGCUGCACAUGAAACUGGUGGGAGAAGAUGUGGGCUGGGAACUGUCUUUGGGGAAAACACCUUGAUAAGCGUCUGGGAGGCUCACCAGGCUCCGUGGGCUGGGUGUGAUAAGCCCCGCCUUGCAGCUGGGUGUGGCUGAAUGAUGGAGCUGGAGCCAGUGGAAUGUGUGUGGAAGCGAUGGGUGCCAUUUCCAGGCCUGACCCAGAGCACCUCCCACCCCAGCCCCGCUCCCGCUCGUCUCCUUCCUGCUUGUGGGAUGGCUUCGGGAGCCAUGUGUCGACGCACACACAUCCACUGCCAGCCUGGGCCCCAUCCCCGCCUCAGCAAGCUGGAACCUCCUAGAUCUUAUUAUGAGAGAAAAAUAAACUUCUAUGGUGUUCGCUCAUUUCAUUCUGGGUUUAAUUGUUAAAGAAGUUUAGCUUACUCAAAACAAUAAGCUUGCAGAAGGCUUUAGACUUCCAGGGACAAGAAAAUCGGGGUGGAGAGCCAGGCUAGCAGCUGCUGGGCACAUUUUAGCAGAUCUCCAGGAUGGGCAGCGCCACUGUGCGGGAGUUACACAGGUGAAGUGUUUUGUAUGCACUCGGCAAACGACAGCUGUUCUGAUUACAGUGCUCUCAUCAUGGAAGAGCUGGUCUAUCUCUAAAAUGGACUCACAUGCCCCACCUCUCACGGGGGCUGUGGAUGUUGUCAUUCGCAUGAAGAGAGAACUUAACUGGAGUUUUCUUCUCUCCGUGCUGGGGAGCAAAGUCUUCACUGAGCUGACAGGAGCUGGUGUGUGUUGCAGGAGGAGAGAUUUUGGCUCAGGAAAGAAUGUUCUCACCCUCUGGGAGGCCCUGAGCACCCUCCUUAUGAAAGAGAGUGUACAAGCCUGGUGUGUUUCUAAGUUCCUGGCCUUCCUGAUAAGUCCCGAAGGCCCACAUCAGAAAAAGAGGGUUACGGUGCCCUGAACCAGAAGCCGGGCAACAUGAGGCAGCCACAGUGGACAGAUGUCAAGGACCCGCGCCCAAGCAGAACCAUGCAGCGGCACAUUGACAGCAGUGACGAGCCAGCCGGCAGCAUCCCCGAGUUCCUGGACAAUCCAAGAGUGUGAUCCAGGCUUCCUGUCAGUGUGGGCUGAGAGGGGGUGCGGCUGGUUUGAACUGAACUUGAAGAAUGGAGCUAGGAUAAGAUUUGCUGCCAGAGGGGGUGCAAGAGUCUCUAUUUGUCACACCAGAACUUAGAAGAAGAGAGGGCUGCUGGUUCCUGGUGACACCUGGGGGAAUCAGGGGCAGGUUGUGUCCACCCACCGCAGCCAAGCACCUUGUCCCCCACCCACUUCUGCUCCAAGCUGUGACUCUCAGCAUCUCUCAACCUCUCAAGCCUCACAGGAAACUCCGAGACCUGACUCUGCAUGAGCAAAGCAGACCCAGGCAAGGAGGAGGCCACGGGGCAGGGCUCAGCCCCCAAUCAAGUGUCCUGGGGCUCUGGAGAAGCCACAGAGGUGGCAGGGAGCGGGAGGCUGUACAGAGAGAGGAAGGAAAUGAGCUGCCAGCAGUCUGUGAAGGCUCAAAAUGACUUAUGAAGGGAAGGUCUUGGCGGGGCUGGAACAGGGAGGGUGUGAACAGCAUUGCCGAGACUAGAGGUUCAGAAGGCCACCAAGACUGCUCGUCUUGCAGACAGGCCGUUUCUCCCCACAUUGGCGAUGAGGAAGAGCAAGCAAAGAUGUUAGGGGAGCCGGCCAAAGCUCUGUGCAGAGAGGCUUAGAGUGGAAAUGUGUCACCUCUCCGGUUCACGGUUCCUCACCUUCUAGAAGCCAGUCAGCAUUCUUGGUGACCUUGACUUCCAGGCCCCGUGUGGUUUCUGUCGCUAGAAGAACACAGACUCAGCAGUCAGGCCAGCGAGUGUCUGAGUCGCAGCUCCGUCACUUACUAGCACUGCUUGGGCAAAUCACUUGAGCUCUCUGAGCCUCAGUUUCCCCAUCUGUAAAAUGGGGAUUAUAAUAUUUGCCAGAUAGGGCUGUCGUGGAAGUCAACAGAAAUAGAAAGUGAAAGCAAUUUGUCAUAAUUGUCUCUGAUCAAGACUUAAGGAAUGAGCAUUUGCUCUGUGCCAGCCCUGCUCCUGAAUUAUCUCAUCCAGUUCUCUCUGUAGUCUCUCUUGACAGAUGAGAGAGGCAGAGCCCAGAGAGGCAGAGUGAUUUUCCCAGGGUUUCUCAGCUUUAAAGUGGCUGAGCCUGGCCUGAAACCCAGGCAGUCCAGCAUCCAGGUUCUAGAUGUCUCCCUAUACUUCGGAUACAAAGCAGCUUGUCAUUGGUGCCAAAUGUGAGGCUGCAAUCUACAGUGGGAAUAUGAAGAAAGGAAGCAUCGUUUUGAGAAAGCUUCUUGGAAGGUACAGGAUGUGAGCUGAAAUUUUCCAAGGAAAAGCAGGAUAUCAGCAGGAGGAAGCGGGAAGGGGAGGCAUUGCCAGGCAGCGGCUGCAGCUGGAGCAAAGCAGGGAAGUGGGGGCACAGAGGCAGACUGGAGAGCGACUGGUAGACCAUGUGGCUGCAGCUCCGAUCUCCAGGCGGAGAACUGAGCGGGAGCUUCACAGCUGGAGCUGUGUCCUCACAGAAAGGAGCGGUCCUUUUUCUCUCCAUCCUCAUUGCAAAUCCAUCAGACUGUAAGCUCCAUGAGGACAAGGACCGGGUCGGUCUCCUCCCGUGCUGCAGCCCCAAUGCCCAGCCUGGUGUCUGGCCUGUGGUAGACAUCGGACAAGCAUUUGCUGAAAGAACUGGAAGGGGGAGGGCCCCACCAAACUGACAGUGAAGGAAUAAAGCAAGGAUAAGCCAGCCCAUGAUGACAAAGAUGCCAGGAGAGGAGGCACCAGCAGAAAAAAGAUUUCAACAAAUCUUUGGAAGAUGAGAUGCUAAUAGAGAAGUGGCAAGCAAAUUCAUGGCUACAACCUCAAGUGUCUGCAGAGGGCAUAAGGAGGAGGAGGGAGCCAGAUGUGUCCUGAAGAAUCCCCAAGAGGCCCAGGUCUUGGAUGGACCAGGAAUGGUUGGAAGUCUGGACACAGAGCAGUUGUUCCCCAGGUCUUAUAGGUAUAGAUGACUAUACCCACAAGUUUAAGGGCAUCAGUUUCUUCUUGGAGGAAGAAACUAAUCCCCAGAGUAUGGACUUCCACUGAUGAUGAUGACAGGUCUGCACAUCCUUCAAUCACCUUUCAGUGGAGCCCAACCAUGAACAUCGAGCUUCCAAUGUCCCCAGGGUCACUGGUGCCUGCCUCCUUCACCUGGGUUGGCUCCAUUCUCCAGCUCUCUAGGGUGACCCCCAGUAGCUCCCAUCACUUCAACACCAAGUCCAGUGGAAGGGACAGUGCUCUUCCUCUGUAUCUCAAACCAAAAUCCUGGCAUCAAGCCCUAUUGGUCCUGAUUAGUCUG
rnacentral:lncRNA from 1 species